rnacentral:ncRNA from 2 species
CCUGCUACGCGGGGGUCCUGCUUGCGCACCGUCGUCAAGCGGGUGAGAAACACCCUUUGAACCUGAUCUGGGUAAUGCCAGCGCAGGGAAGCGUCCGGGGUCGAUCA